GACGAACGCUGGCGGCGUGCUUAACACAUGCAAGUCGAACGGAAAGGCCCUGCUUUUGUGGGGUGCUCGAGUGGCGAACGGGUGAGUAACACGUGAGUAACCUGCCCUUGACUUUGGGAUAACUUCAGGAAACUGGGGCUAAUACCGGAUAGGAGCUCCUGCUGCAUGGUGGGGGUUGGAAAGUUUAGGCGGUUGGGGAUGGACUCGCGGCUUAUCAGCUUGUUGGUGGGGUAGUGGCUUACCAAGGCGUUGACGGGUAGCAGGCCUGAGAGGGUGACCGGCCACGUUAGGACUGAAAUACGGCCCAGACUACUACGGGAGGCAGCAGUGGGGAGUGUUGCACAAUGGGCGGAAGCCUGAUGCAGCAACGCCGCGUGCGGGAAGACGGCCUUCGGGUUGUAAACCACUUUCGCCUGUGACGAAGCGUGAGUGACGGUAAUGGGUAAAGAAGCACCGGCUAACUACGUG
rnacentral:rRNA from 1 species